rnacentral:rRNA from 1 species
CCUACGGGAGGCUGCAGUCGAGAAUCAUUCACAAUGGGGGAAACCCUGAUGGUGCGACGCCGCGUGGGGGAAUGAAGUUCUUCGGAUUGUAAACCCCUGUCAUGUGGGAGCAAAUUCAAAAGAUAGUACCACACUAGGAAGAGACUGCUAACUCUGUGCCAGCAGCCGCGGUAAUACAGAGGUCUCAAGCGUUGUUCGGAAUCACUGGGCGUAACGCGUGCGUAGGCUGUUUCGUAAGUCGUGGGUGAAAGGCGCGGGCUCAACCCGCGGACGGCACAUGAUACUGCGAGACUAGAGUAAGGGAGGGGGAACCGGAAUUCUCGGUGUAGGAGUGAAAUGCGUAGAUAUCGAGAGGAACACUCGGGGCGAAGGCGGGUUCCUGGACAUUAACUGACGCUGAGGCACGAAGGCCAGGGGAGCGAAAGGGAUUAGAUACCCGAGUAGUC